GAAAACUCCAGAACCACCGAGAGUCAUUUUUGUUCAUUCUCUGCUCAUCUCCUCCUCGUCGUUGUCCUUUAAUUCUUCCCUCAUCGUCACUGAGCUUGCUUGUUUCUUCUCCGUUGAGGAUCUGCCGUGAAACGGCACUGCUUCUGGUUUCCCCUGUCUCUGGUUGCUGCCGAUUUCUGAUCACUGUUGAUGAAGUGUGCUUAGUCUUUGCAUCUUAUUCCUCCUUAGCUGCUGUUGUGUUCAGAUCACCGUGAAUCUGCCACUGUCGAGGCCGAACUCGCAAAUUCGUCUGCUCCUCUGUUCAUCAACUGGUCUUCUCUUCAUGCGACGGUGAUGCCUGAAUCUUUCUUCUCCUCUGUUAAUGCGCUGCCAUGGGAUCGCCUCCCGUCUGUGCUGUUUGUGUGGAUGUUCCAAGAUCUUCUUCUCCCUCCUUCGUUCUGCGUCCUACUUUCUCCAUUUUUGCUUGACUAGAACCUUCUUUUGUUCUACUCUGUCGUGAUCACACGUGAGUUAGGGAGGUUCAACUUCUUCUCUUCAUUUCUUUACUGCAUUGGCGGGUAACUGUAAAGAGGGUAGCUUGAUUGGAGUUGUAAGAAAUGAAUUUUGAGUUUUGAAGAUUCUACAGAUGGUAUAGUUGAAUUCGUGACUCGAGAUAUCCACUGAGGGGUGUUAUUGCUGAAUUGAAGCUGAAGAAUUAUUUUUGUCAAAUCCUAAAUUGAUGAAAAAUUUGAACUUCAUACCCACGUUGGUGUCUAGCCUUAGAUGCUCCACGUAGACUACAGGUAGGAUCCUUACAUUUCUUUUAAAAUUAAAUAUUUAAUUUAAUAUUGUAAUAAUUUCUAACUACUCUAUUAGGUGUUUAACAUAUUAAUUUCAGAGUUUCUCCAAUCAUGGCUUAAGGGAUAUGAGUUUUGUACCCAUAUUCCAUGCCGGUCACACUUAAUUUUUGGGGUGUGACAUAAGUUAUCAAGUGAAUUUAUGCGCUCGUCACCUUCACUAUCAUAACUCAAA